AAAGCUCUUUAAAAGCCCUAAGGCCUAAGUCUGUCUUGUUUGCUGGCCCUGUCCCUGUUCUACUUUUGAGGAUUCCUGAGGGUAGGUGCAGGCCCUCCAUGAUACCACCAUGGUCCUGCGUGAGGAGAAAGGAAAUACACUUUGGAUGACUUGCACCAAGUGCUUUCCUGCUAUCAGCAAGUCCCUCUCUGUGCAGACAGUUUGCUUUGACCAAGGUGGCUGUAGCAGUCACACAGGAGAAGAGGUUACUUAUUUCACUGGAGCUGCUGGGAAUGAGUUGUGGCCAGGAAAUGAGAAAAUGUGGCUGUCCUUCACCUGUGUUCUCACUGUUUUCCCCCUUCCACGCUCCAAUCUCUCCCAAGAUGUCAGGAGGCAAUCAGUGGUCUCAGAAAAAUGGUUCUGCUCUCUGGAGAUGUGGCAAUACCUCACUACUGCUAUUAGCCAGUAGAGACAUAUCUUUAGGAAAAAAAGGCUUGGCUGGCACUGCAGCACUGAUGGCCCUAUGGCUUUGACCAGUGGGUCGUGGCCUUAUCUGCACCCCAAGCAACAGUUGGGCUGCUUAUUGCUUUUCUUCCUCUCUCUCUGCCUUUUCCUUUCUUGUCACAGGCAAGAAAUAAGAAACUGUCCUUUCCCCUACUUACUUCAUUAGGACUUUAAUAACUGAAAGAACAUUUUUGGCAAUUAUAGUUGGCAGUCAUCAGAGCUCUUUAUUUUUUUUAAACAAGUCUGAACCUUUGCAGCAGUCGCAACAGCAACAAAAAGUUUUCUCCACCUCUUUUUUCCCCCUCUGAAAAAAAAAAGAAGAAUCUUUGCCACUGUUGUGUAAUACUCACUAGUAAAAUAACCAGUAUCCUAUACAGUUAGAAAAACGAAGGAGUUUACAGUUUUUCCAGCUGUUUCUGUGAUGCAAUGUAAACAGUAAGAGUGAUGGCCUGCCUUGGAAAUCCUCCGUGCGAGCCACACAACUGGAUUCCAGCAUUAUACGGUUGUGCUGUCUGCUGCUGCUGCUUGUUCUUCUCCAGUUUCUGAGUCAGCAAAAGAAAACAUGCGGAUAUCUUACCAUCACCCGUUCUCAUUCCUUCUCUGUGUCAGGAGUAGUGCAAUAAAAGUUGUGUAUGGAUGUGGGGAGUUACCAAGAAAGUUGUGGUCUCUAGAGAAGAGGCACUGGGUUUUUCACAGGGAAGAAGAAAAAAAAAAUCUUGUGGUAUUUCCAGAAGUAAAACUUGCAGAAUAAAAUAAUUUUUGGUGAGCUCU
ensembl:lncRNA